GUGUGUUUGCGAACGAGAGAGAGAGAGGGCAAGGGAACAAACCCUAGUUCUAAAAUUCAGGCCAAAAUCCUACAAAUCAAGAAGGCAAAGGGCUGAAUUAUUGAUGCAAGAGGCACGAAGAAGGAAGAAGGCGCAAGUCACUUGAAGUCACAAGCAUCUCAAGAUCGCGGGAGAAAGCAAACCUGUCGGGAUAACACGGUGGUAGCAUCCAAGUGAGCAAAAGUAGUGGCGGGAGCUGGAUCUGUUAAAUCAUCAGCAGGUAUUAUGAUCAUCUAAGGUUCCAAACUUGUGCUUGAACGA